rnacentral:rRNA from 1 species
CCUACGGGGGGCAGCAGUGGGGAAUAUUGGACAAUGGGCGAAAGCCUGAUCCAGCCAUGCCGCGUGUGUGAAGAAGGCCUUCGGGUUGUAAAGCACUUUCAGUGGGGAAGAAAGCCUUGGGGCUAAUACCCUCGAGGAAGGACAUCACCCACAGAAGAAGCACCGGCUAACUCCGUACCAGCAGCCGCGGUAAUACGGAGGGUGCGAGCGUUAAUCGGAAUUACUGGGCGUAAAGCGCGCGUAGGCGGUCUGAUAAGCCGGUUGUGAAAGCCCCGGGCUCAACCUGGGAACGGCAUCCGGAACUGUCAGGCUAGAGUGCAGGAGAGGAAGGUAGAAUUCCCGGUGUAGCAGUGAAAUGCGUAGAGAUCGGGAGGAAUACCAGUGGCGAAGGCGGCCUUCUGGACUGACACUGACGCUGAGGUGCGAAAGCGUGGGUAGCAAACAGGAUUAGAUACCCGGGUAGUC